AUAUUCAAAAACAUCUGAUAAAAUUGGAUUGAUACAGAGAAGAUUAGCAUGACCGGUGCAAGGAUGACACGAAUAAAUCGAGAAAUAGUCCAAAUUUUU
rnacentral:snRNA from 1 species